rnacentral:rRNA from 1 species
GACGGAAGGUGCAAGCGUUGCUCGGAAUCACUGGGCGUAAAGGGUGCGUAGGCGGCCGUGUAAGUCUGGCGUGAAAGCCCCGGGCUCAGCCCGGGAAGUGCGCUCGAAACUGCACGGCUCGAGUGCCGGAGGGGAGAGUGGAAUUCCUGGUGUAGCGGUGAAAUGCGUAGAUAUCAGGAGGAAUACCGGUGGCGAAAGCGACUCUCUGGACGGUAACUGACGCUGAGGCACGAAAGCGUGGGGAGCGAACGGG